AUUCUCAGCAUCAUCAUCAUCGCAUUUGUUUCCAGAAGAGGAGAUAGGGAUUGGGUGUGUGUUUCUGUGUGUGAAAAUGGCGGAGAAAGAAAGACGCAAAUUCAGGGCUUUUGGAUUUGUACAUAUGCCAAUUGAAGAUUCAGAUUUUUGGGGUUUUUACUGUAUUCAGAUGGGGGAUCAGCU